rnacentral:misc_RNA from 1 species
GAUGAAGAACGUAGCGAAAUGCGAUACGUAAUGUGAAUUGCAAAUUCAGUGAAUCAUCGAGUCUUUGAACGCACAUUGCGCCCCCUGGUAUUCCGGGGGGCAUGCCUGUCCGAGCGUCAUUGCUGCCCUCAAGCACGGCUUGUGUGUUGGGCCCCGUCCUCCGAUUCCGGGGGACGGGCCCGAAAGGCAGCGGCGGCACCGCGUCCGGUCCUCGAGCGUAUGGGGCUUUGUCACCCGCUCUGUAGGCCCNNCCGGCGCUUGCCGAUCAACCCAAAUUUUUAUCCAGGUUGACCUCGGAUCAGGUAGGGAUACCCGCUGAACUUAAGCAUAUCAAUAAGCGGAGGA